AACGACGCUGGCGGCAGGCCUAACACAUGCAAGUCGAACGAAGUCUUCGGACUUAGUGGCGGACGGGUGAGUAACACGUGGGAACCUACCCUAUCGGUACGGAAUAACAGAGGGAAACUUCUGCUAAUACCGUAUACGCCCUUUGGGGGAAAGUUUUCGCCGAUAGGUGGGCCCGCGUUCGAUUAGAUUGUUGGUGGGGUAACGGCCUACCAAGUCUACGAUCGAUAGCUGGUCUGAGAGG
rnacentral:rRNA from 1 species